CCUCAAGGUUAGUAAGAUGGAAUCAGAGAAAGGAUUAGGGUUAAGGUUAGACUAAUCUAAUACAACCUCAGAACCAAUUUUUCCCCACCCUCCUGCCGUCCGUCAGCUCCUGCCGCGCGUCGCGGCCCCUCUACCGCGCGUCGCGGCCUUCCUUCACCACGUCGCGGCCUUCCUUCACCACCCGUCUGGCGCGUUCGGCCGCCCGUCGCGGCCUUCCUCCGGCCGUCCGUCGCGGCCCCUCCUGCGCCGCCCGUCGCGGCGCGCCCGGCCGCCCGCCGCGGCCUUCCUCCGGUUGCCCGUCGCGACCACUCCUCCGCCGCCCGUCGCGGCGCGUCCGGCCACGCGUCGUGGCCCCUCCUUCGCUGCCCGUCGCGGUGCGAGUACGGCCGCCCGUCGCGGCCUCAACGGCGUCCAUUAUUGCGCCCGUUGCUGUUCCUCUGCUUCGUUGCAUGGCCUGGUUCUACUCUGCCCUGUCCGUUGCACUGUCCUGCUCGGUGGUCCUCCCUUCGGCUACUCUGGUUUGGCCUAUCAUUGUUGUUCUUUAUCUUCAGUUCCGCUGCUGUGUUGCUGGAAUUUUGCUCUGGUUUGGCCUGCUGCUGGAGUUUUGCUGGUUCAUCCGCAGCUACUGCAGUAACUCUUUCAGUCUUCAUUCAACUGCUGCCACUCAGUCAUGUCGCAGGUCAAUGCAAUUGUUAUCAAUAUUACUUUAGAUGGGCAGAAUUAUCUAGAGUGGGCUUUUUUAGUUGAGACUGCUCUACGAGGUUAUGGUCUUCAUUUUCAUUUUCAUUUGACUGAUGAUCCACCUGAACUUAAAACUGAUAAGAUUAAUGAAGCUGCAGUCCACACAUGGACAGUUAAUGAUGGCAAAGUGAUGGCUGCCAUGGUGAAUAGUGUGAAGCCUUCUCUGAUUAUGAGUCUUCGCAAGUUCACGCAAGCCAAGCCUAUGUGGAAAUUUUUGGAGACACGCUUUGUUCAGGAAAGUGGUGCUCUUCAACACACUCUUAUGCAGCAAAUACAUGUAUUGAACAGAAAGACAUGUCUAUUGAUGAUUACUAUAAUUCUUAUGAUCGUUUGAUGGCUUCUUUGCUCUCCAUGGUGCCUCAGUGUACUGCUGGUGAUGGCUGUUCUGCACAUUCUUUUAUUGAGAGGUUUCUCACAUACAGAUUUGUCAUGAGAGUCAGAGAUGAAUUUGAUUCCCUUUGUACCCGGUUGCUUCACAGUGCCUCUGAUCUCACCAUGGCAAAGGCAUUAUCUGAGUUGCUUGCAGAGGAGACACGUCUUCGGUCCUUGUCUUCUUCAUAAGUGACUCAUCCUCACAGUGUGUUGGCUGCCUCUCACAAGUUCAGUGCACCAAAAGCUACAUCAUCAGACCCUUGUAAGCAUUGUGGCAAGUUUAUUCAUACCUCAUAUAAUUGCUUUUCCAAGCAUCCAGAGAAGUUGGCUGAGUAUCGUGCUCGUCGUGCUGCCCGUGCUUCUCGUGGUUCUGGUAUUGGUCCCAGUUCUAAGGGAUCCGUUUCUGUGGCUGCUGCUUCACCGGCCAUUGCACCAUCCUUGUCAUGGGUGCUUGAUUCAGGGGCUUCAUUUCAUGUCACUUCGGAUAAGUCUCAGUUGGCCUUCUCCACACCUGUCAUUGAUGGCACUUCUGUUCAGAUAGCUGAUGGCACUCAACUGCGAGCAAGGAAGCGGAGCGAAAUGGCGAAGCGAACUGCGAAGGCGAAGAGGACGCGCCCAAAGGCCCUAGAGCGAAGGGAGGAGAGUGCAGGCAAUUCCUGUCCGAAGGGAAGCGAAGAGGCUGCACGCCAUGGCGAAGGGACGUACGGGGAAGUGGCUCCGAGAGCCCCUUCGACAAGGCAGCGAAGACCUUGAUCGCGAAGGGGCUCGAAGAAAGGCAGGCCCACUAUCAGAAAUCUGUACGAAAUGUCAUGUCCAGUUGUAAUUCCACUACAUUGUGUCGAUUAUUGUAACAUUACGAGAUUACCCUAGGAAUAUUCCCUGAUGCUGGCAGUUAAGGGGUAGUAAAGGGAUUUUAGCCAGGGAGUAGGUGAACUGUUGGGCUAUAAAUACCCCCCCCCCAUGUAACUGUAAAGGAUCAUUGAAUACAGAGCAAUUAGACCCCUGCUUUGAUUUUCGUGCUGCCA